UCAGCAUUUUCCGAUUACCAAAUGACCAAAGCCUAAUGACCAGCUCUGACAUACCAGAGACAGCUCAGCUUAUCUGGUUUAGUUGUUAGCAACUUUGCCAAUCUCAAUGACCCCAGCAGCUCGGUCCCAGUGGAAAAGUACUCCCAGGAAGUUAUUCUGUGUUGUUUUCCUCUGUAGCAGCUCUUACCACAAUAACAAGCUCAUACAACAGGCCUGACUGGCUAUCAGUUUAUUUGUGCUAUUCUUUUUUCAGCCUCCUCCAUCACCCUAUUCUCUGGGCAAUCAGUUUAGGAGCAUGCUGUCUGAGGGGAAUACUGAUCAGUCUGCCGUUACAGUACAGACUCAGACCACUGCGAGGAUGGGGGAGGAGACAAUGGUAAUGGAGGGAAAUUUCCCGAAGGAUCACAGUCAUAACCUGCCUGCUCAGGACAUCAGUCUGGUGAAGGGCCAGAAGAAGAGCCAGUUGCUGCUAGACCGUGGCCAGUGGGCCAACAAGCUAGAGUUCCUCUUGGCAGUGGCAGGCACCUUGGUGGGGCUGGGGAACUUGUGGAGGUUCCCAUAUCUGUGUUACAAAAAUGGAGGAGGUGCAUUCCUGAUUCCCUAUGUUCUGUUCCUGCUCUCCUGUGGGAUCCCCAUGUUCCUCCUGGAGACAGCCAUGGGACAGUACACCUCGCAGGGCUGCAUCACCUGUUGGAGACACUUCUGUCCUCUCUUUGAAGGGAUUGGUUAUGCCACCCAGGUGGUCAUUGCGUAUGCUGCAGUGUCAUACAUCAUCAUCCAGGCCUGGGCCUUCUUCUACUUGUUCUCCUCCUUCAGUGCCGAGUUGCCAUGGGCCAGCUGCAGAAACGCCUGGAAUACAGAAUCUUGUGUAGAAUUUGACAAGAGGAAUCAGUCAGCUAACUGGACAGUCCCUGUGAAUGCAACUGCACCUGCGACAGAGUUCUGGGAGCGCAGGGUGUUGAGCAUCUCCCCAGGGAUAGAACAGAUUGGUAGACUGCGGUGGGAGCUGGCUCUGUGUCUGCUGCUGGCCUGGAUACUCUGCUACUUCUGUGUCUGGAAAGGAGUGAAGUCUACUGGGAAGGUGGUGUAUUUCACAGCUACCUUUCCCUAUCUGAUGUUGAUUGUUCUAUUGGCUCGGGGACUCACGUUACCUGGUGCUAUUGAUGGGAUCAAGUUCUACCUCUACCCGGACCCUGCAAGACUGGUCGACCCACAGGUAUGGAUGGAUGCUGGAGCACAGGUGCUUUUCUCCUUUGGCAUCUGUCAAGGGAGUCUGACUGCACUGGGCAGCUACAAUCAUUAUAACAAUGACUGCUAUAAGGACACGUUUGUGCUGUGUUUGGUGAAUGGAGGAUCAAGCUUUGUUGCUGGGUUUGCUAUCUUCUCUGUGUUGGGCUUCAUGUCAUAUGAACAGGGGCUGCCCAUAUCUGAAGUUGCAGCAUCUGGUCCUGGCCUGGCGUUCAUAGCCUAUCCUCGUGCCGUGGCCAUGAUGCCUUUACCUCAGUUGUGGUCCAUAUGUUUCUUCGUCAUGGUCAUCUUGCUGGGUGCUGACACACAGUUUGUCAGUCUGGAGUGCCUGAUGACCUCUGUGACAGACAUGUUCCCCACCGUGUUUCGAAGGGGGUACCGUCGAGAGCUGCUGCUGCUUUGUCUCUGCUCUGUCUGCUUCUUCCUGGGACUCCUUCUGGUCACAGAGGGAGGGUUAUAUUUUCUACAACUUUUUGACCAUUACGUGUGCAGUGGCAACAAUCUCCUUCUGCUCUCUGUCUGCCAGUCAAUAGCAAUCGGUUGGAUUUAUGGUGGUCUCAAUAUCCAGCCUGCUACUCACAGAGCUGAGGUCAGCUGUAGUUUCACAGCCCACCCCUACAUACAUAAAUACCAAUGGUAUUUCAGGCUGGCCCCCCCAUGGUGCUGGUAUCUGGAACCUCAAGAUGUAGGCCCUUGAUGAACUCAAACCCUAGAAGGCAUUGGCAUGAUAAUGGACUUGAGGCCCAACCAAGGCAGAAGCAGCUGGAAUCUUGACAGUGCUGUUAUCCAUAAAAGCUCCAGCAGCAGCAGACAAUUGCACCAACCACUGACCUCCAGGCAG